UCAUCUGCCGCAUGUGUUCCCUGUGAGCCUGAAAUGGAUCCCUAAGGCGGAGGAAGUAAAAACAAAAACUCGGAGAAGACUGACAUCUUCAGGAUCAACCGUCUGGAUAUCUUAAAUGUGACGAGGACAACGUCCAGGAGAUCGACCUGAAAACCUACAAAGAGCCGUUAUCAAAAUAAUGUGACGUUUGAGUUGUAUUUCAUUCAAGCACAUCCGAUUCAAAUAUAGCCUUCCUUUUUUUGUUUAUGAAGUUUUAUUAAAAACUUAAAAAUAAAGUAUACAAACAUUCUUC